rnacentral:rRNA from 1 species
GACGAACGCUGGCGGCGUGCCUAAUACAUGCAAGUAGAACGCUGAAGGAAGGAGCUUGCUCUUUCUGGAUGAGUUGCGAACGGGUGAGUAACGCGUAGGUAACCUGCCUGGUAGCGGGGGAUAACUAUUGGAAACGAUAGCUAAUACCGCAUAAAAUUGAUUAUUGCAUGAUAGUCAAUUAAAAGGUGCAACUGCACCACUACCAGAUGGACCUGCGUUGUAUUAGCUAGUUGGUGGGGUAACGGCUCACCAAGGCGACGAUACAUAGCCGACCUGAGAGGGUGAGCGGCCACACUGGGACUGAGACACGGCCCAGACGCCUACGGGAGGCAGCAGUAGGGAAUCUUCGGCAAUGGACGGAAGGCUGACCGAGCAACGCCGCGGGAGGGAAGAAGGGUUUCGGAUCGUAAAGCUCGGUUGUAAGAGAAGAACGAGUGUGAGAGUGGAAAGUUCACACUGUGACGGUAUCUUACCAGAAAGGGACGGCUAACUACGUG